CUGCGCACCCACUGGAAAAGCAUGGCCUAAAAUGUUUGGAGGUAGCUCAGUUGGCCCUCUCACCUGCCCCUGGAAACAGGGCACAACCACAGCUCCUGAUCAAUCAGAAGAUACAACUGGUGUGGUGACACAGAGUGUGGCAGAGGUGAAGGACUGUACUUCAACCAAGCGACAAUAAUCUGCAAGAGCUUUUCUUAAGAAAUUAGACAAAGAUCUUGUUCAGGCAACACAACGUCAGAGCAUACUUUACCUGGCACAGUGUGUUUACGGUGGAAGACGAUGAAAGACUCAAGUCUCGUGAGCAGAGAUGCAGAGGGCGUUAACAAGCUGAGCGUGUAAACGUGUCCUCAUCUGCCUUCUGCUUAGUAACGCCCCUCCACCGCUAAAGAGAGAGAGAGAGAGAGAGAGAGAGGAAUGCAGCGCACUCAAAGUCUUUCCUUUCCCUCAUUAACAGAGAAGGCCUCCCCGUCCGACUGAUUAAUAACAAACACUGCUUACCUCUCCAUUUCUUUAUCUUCACUCUGAUUUGUUUCUGUCUUUGUGCCUUUGUCUUCUCGUCGUUUGCACACAACACGGUUAAAUGUUAAGUGGUUAUACAGGUUUCUGCUUUUGUUCUGAGCUGCAGCCGAGCAGAUUA